rnacentral:rRNA from 1 species
ACUCCUACGGGAGGCAGCAGUGGGGAAUAUUGCACAAUGGGCGCAAGCCUGAUGCAGCAACGCCGCGUGAGCGAAGAAGGUCUUCGGAUCGUAAAAGCUCUUUUCUUAGGGAAGAAAACUGACGGUACCUAAGGAAUAAGCACCGGCUAAAUACGUGCCAGCAGCCGCGGUAAUACGUAUGGUGCAAGCGUUAUCCGGAAUCACUGGGCGUAAAGGGUGCGUAGGCGGUUUUGCAAGUCAGAAGUGAAAGGCUACGGCUCAACCGUAGUAAGCUUUUGAAACUGCAAGACUAGAGUGCAGGAGAGGAAAGUGGAAUUCCUAGUGUAGAGGUGAAAUUCGUAGAUAUUAGGAGGAACACCAGUGGCGAAGGCGACUUUCUGGACUGUAACUGACGCUGAUGCACGAAAGCGUGGGAGCGAACAGGAUUAGAUACCCUGGUAGCACAGAG